GGGGAUAUAGCUGAAACGGUAGAGUGUUUGCCUCACAUGCACAAGGCCCUGGGUUCAAUCCCCAGCACCAUCA
rnacentral:tRNA from 1 species